AGUGAACGCUGGCGGUAGGCCUAACACAUGCAAGUCGAACGGCAGCACAGUAAGAGCUUGCUCUUACGGGUGGCGAGUGGCGGACGGGUGAGGAAUACAUCGGAAUCUACUUUUUCGUGGGGGAUAACGUAGGGAAACUUACGCUAAUACCGCAUACGACCUACGGGUGAAAGCAGGGGAUCUUCGGACCUUGCGCGAUUGAAUGAGCCGAUGUCGGAUUAGCUAGUUGGCGGGGUAAAGGCCCACCAAGGCGACGAUCCGUAGCUGGUCUGAGAGGAUGAUCAGCAACACUGGAACUGAGACACGGUCCAGACUCCUACGGGAGGCAGCAGUGGGGAAUAUUGGACAAUGGGCGCAAGCCUGAUCCAGCCAUACCGCGUGGGUGAAGAAGGCAUUCGGGUUGUAAAGCCCUUUUGUUGGGAAAGAAAAGCAGCAGGUUAAUACCCCGCUGUUCUGACGGUACCCAAAGAAUAAGCACCGGCUAACUUCGUG
rnacentral:rRNA from 1 species